rnacentral:rRNA from 1 species
GUUUAGGGGUAAACAGAAAAGAAUUGAAAAUCCGAAAAGGAAGAUUCAAGUCCUCUCGCUUCAAAUACUAUGCUAGUCAUAUUUUAUUUUUAGGAUGACUAUUUGGCCUUUGCAUUUUUUUAAAGUGUAUAUGUUGCUGAUAGUUGCCUUAAUUUAAUAUUGAGUAGCAGCGGUGGACCGCACUUCUUCCUUAGUAGGACGUCGCGACCCACUAAACAGUGUAGUCUAUAUGUAAGCUAAAGUCUGUUUUUCAUUUAAAAGAAAUUUUAAAUUUGGGAAAGCAGGUUGCUUAUUAUAAAAGACUAAUAUGUUGGUGGUAUAAAAUGACAGUGGUGAGCCGUCUUUAUUAAAAGCGUUUAAUAUAAUGCUCAAUUGACAGAAAAUUUUUAUUAGAGUUUUUUAAUUCUAAUAUAAUUUUUUCCAUAUUUUAAAAAAUAUAAGUCAAUUGUAGCUUUUAUUAUAUUUAAACUGAGUUCACAACACUUGUCGGCGGCGCUACAGUUUCAGUAACUUUUCUGACCCGUCUUGAAACAC